UACGAAGGGGGCUAGCGUUGUUCGGAAUUACUGGGCGUAAAGCGCACGUAGGCGGCUUUGUAAGUCAGAGGUGAAAGCCCGGAGCUCAACUCCGGAAUUGCCUUUGAGACUGCAUCGCUUGAAUCCGGGAGAGGUGAGUGGAAUUCCGAGUGUAGAGGUGAAAUUCGUAGAUAUUCGGAAGAACACCAGUGGCGAAGGCGGCUCACUGGACCGGUAUUGACGCUGAGGUGCGAAAGCGUGGGGAGCAAACAGG
rnacentral:rRNA from 1 species